CCUACAAUUUCAAGGAUUCCCUAGCACUGUUUAUUUUGUACCUUUCCCCUCAAUGUGUUUACUGAGUUGGUUAAUGAGGAUUCUACUGUUAUGGUUUUUCAGCUUUUAUAGCUGCCUAAGCUGGAAGUUCUUAGAGCAGGUGUCUUGAUUUUAUUCCUGUCUGCUGCUCUGUUGAUGCCAAUAGAUGAUCAAGUGAUAGUGGUUGUAUAAAUAUGUUCACACUGCUGAGAAUGAUUUUUUAAACAUUCUUACCAAACUGAGAAAGCAACAGUUGUUUUUAUUUAUGCUUCCCUCUAGUUGCAGACAUUUAAUACUGCUGAAUCCUGCAGGGACAUUCAGGACUUAACUAAUGGUGUUGCUAUGGCACAGGUCCUUCAUGAAAUUGAUGCUGCCUGGUUUGACAAAGCAUGGCUAAGCCGUAUUAAAGAUGAUGUUGGUGACAACUGGAGAAUAAAGGCUAGCAUUUGAAGAAAGUUCUUCAAGGAAUUACCGAUUAUUAUCAUGGGU